GGUUCCACAGUGUAGCAGCUAGCAUGUCUGCUUUAUAUGCAGAAGGUCCUAGGUUCACACCCUAGUGGAGCCA
rnacentral:tRNA from 1 species